UACGUAGGGCACAAGCGUUAUCCGGAAUUAUUGGGCGUAAAGAGCUCGUAGGCGGUUUGUCGCGUCUGCCGUGAAAGUCCGGGGCUCAACCCCGGGCCUGCAGUGGGUACGGGCAGACUAGAGUGCGGUAGGGGAGACUGGAAUUCCUGGUGUAGCGGUGAAAUGCGCAGAUAUCAGGAGGAACACCGGUGGCGAAGGCGGGUCUCUGGGCCGUAACUGACGCUGAGGAGCGAAAGCGUGGGGAGCGAACAGG
rnacentral:rRNA from 1 species